rnacentral:tRNA from 1 species
UCCUUGGUGGCUCAGACAGUAAAGAGUCUGCCUGCAAUGCAGGAAACCUGGGUUUGAUCCCCAGGUUGGGAA